CAGAGCAGUACGGUCAACUAAAACUUAAAGAACUUGGCGGUUUUCUAGAUCUCCUUGGAGGAGCUUGUCAUCGAAUUGAUAACCCACAAGACACCUCACCAACUCAAGACUUAUCAGCUUGUAUACCAUCGUCGUCAGCUCACAUCAAAAGAAAGUAAGCCAAAUGGAAAAUACCCACAACGUCAGAUCAAGGUGCAGCUAAUGAGCUGGGGAUAGAUGAGCUACUUUAUUCACAAAACAGAGGAAGUAACCA
rnacentral:rRNA from 1 species